GGGGAGGGAGGGUGACUGGCGUUGGAGAGCUGGACCAGCGAGCGGCGCGUGGCCCGGGGCGAAGCGCGCGCGCCAGUUAGAGAUAAAAGCCGGAUCUAUUACCAAAGCCAGGAGAAGAAGACAAGGAGAAAACAAGAGGGUGCCACUUGGUUGCUGAAUUAGGCCGCACGGCCCAUCGCUUCUUUAAUAUCUUCCCCAUCCUGGAGGAAACUGCCUUAUCUGCCAGCUGUAUUAGAGACAGAAAUUCUGGAUAUUCCUGCAAGCUUCCGGCUCAGGAUUGACUGAAAUUGGCAAUAGCAAAAGUACUUAGACUUAUAUACCCCUUCAUAGUGCUUUUACA